rnacentral:lncRNA from 1 species
ACUUUUCCAAACUUUACCACAGUUAACUAAUGGGAGGUUAAUGUUGUACAUUAUGGAUCCGUGUUUAUCCUCCAACGUAUUUAUCCACAAUGCGUGCACAUUUAGGUCUGGGUUAGAAUGAGGAAGUAUGUGUAUUGCAGACUCUCAUUAAUUCAUAACGGCUUAAAUUGUGAUUUUUAUUUGGCAUCCUACUGUGGAACCCAGUUGAGAAUGCCGAACUACUCAGCUAAACAUUUUCAAAUCCGUGACUCUCCAUCUGGUUAUUCAAUCAGAACAAAAUCCCUGCAAAGAAAAUCCUCUUCCUAAAAUGUACCCCAUUUUCCUGGCUAAGAAUCAUUCUGAAGAAAUGUGAACAGUUUGCCUAGUUGUUCAAGGAGUUUAUUUGCAGGAAAAACUAACACUAUAAAUAUCAACAGCACUUAAAUGGAAGUGAAGAAAGAAUUCCCUCAUCCUGCAUAAUGGCAGGCUUGUUAGAAAUAACUCCACAGAGAAAAUGAAAAUGUUGCAUUUAUUAUUUUGGAGCAUUUUUUGAAAACUUAAAGUCACCGUAACACAAUCUCACAUGACUCCACUGACAUUUAAGGAAGAGCUACAUUAAUAGCAUCAUGUUUUACUAAAAGUUCAACACAAUGGUACUUUCCACCUAACACCAUGUAAGGUCUUCAUAAAAAUGAAUUUUGCUCUAAAGAAGCCAGCAUAUUCUUGUAAGGGUAAACAACGCUACCAAGCAAGAUGCUUAGACACAGUUAUCUAUAAUAAAUAUGUCAAAUGAAUACUGAAAUAUCCCACUCACAGUUCAUGGGACUUCUGUUCCUAAAAAAAGGUAGAGGAGUAGAUUCCCACAUUAAAUAGCUUUUAAAGGGCCUUUUAUAGAGAUACUCUAUUAUGUUUUAAAUGUGUUUUUCAUUGCUUUAGUUCAUUGACUAUUCCUGUCUUAGAGAAGAAUGGGAAAGUAAACAUUGCAAUUAUUCUUUUCUUCUUCAAAGAUAAGUCUGCUUCCAAUUAGAGAAUAUUAGAUAAAAGAAGAUUUUGGGGGGUGUGUGACCAUGGAAAAGUGAUAGGAAUUGUAUGGGUUAGAAUUAGCAGGCUUGGCUAUAACGUUAAAUAGAAUAAACAUCAUGUAAACAUAAGAUGUUGGAAAGCAUCUUGUGUUUUUAAAUAAAAAGUGGUUCUGUAAUUCCUUUACCAUUAGGAUAGAGAAAAAAAAUAUUUAAGGGGAAAAGAUAAAAGUCACCUUGAUUCACUUAUAAAGAACUAUGACAAGAGGUUAUAAAAUAAUUUUCUCCAAGAUGACUAUUACCAGUUAUUUCCUUCCAUGGAUGUGCAAACAUUCCUCCUUUGAAAAUUGGAGUCUAUUCUUCUAUGCUUUUGGAUCUGGGCUGGUCUAUAACUACUAUGAUCAAUAGAAUAUGACACUGUAUACCUCCCAGAUUAGGUUAUAAGAAGACUUGUAGCUUCCAUCUGGCUUCCUGGAAUACCCACAUCUAGGGGAAGCCAAUCAUCACAUAAGUCCAACUAUGGAAGUUUCCAUCAGAUGUGGCUCAGAUCUGGCGUGGCUAUGGCCAUGGCAUAGGCCAGUAGCUACAUCUCCAAUUCAAUCCCUAGCCUGGGAACUUCCAUAUGCCACAGGUGCAGGCAUUAAAAAAAAAAAAAAAAAGACCAACUUCUCUAAGAGUGCUGUGCUACAAGGAAACCCAAGAAAGCCACACAAAGAGGCCCUUUAAAAGAGAAAUGUCCAACCAGUCAUUAUAGUCUUGCACCAGACCUGUGAGUUAAGAAGUCUUCAGAGGAAUCUAGCUUUAUCAGCUUCUAGUGCACUCCAAGUGAGAGCAGCCUUACUGAACCUAUCAACCACCAGAUAUAGGAUACAUAGUAACAAACUGUUAUUUUAAGUCAUUCCAUUUUAGCAAGCUAAAGAACACCGCACAAAAUCACCAUCAGUCAGGUUUUCAGAAUGACAUUUUACAUUAUUCUAUUACUGAAUACUUUAAAAAAGUGAGAUUUUAGAAUAAUAUAAAGUAGGAACCAAACUAAUGUUCACUAUUCUACAAGUUGCUAAAAUGAGAAAACUGAGAGUCAUGUUAUACUCUCCCCUUUAAUUCAGUCCCCUCAUCCAAUCAACACAUUCUCCAAUUAACCUCCCUAAUAUUGCCUGAUUCUACAUACUCCUCCUUGUCCACAUUGCCAUUGCCUUAUAUAACAUUUGAAGUUAACAUUUAAAGGACACAACUAAUAUUCCCUCCUUCAGACCAUUUAAGCCCCCUUUGUAGCCCAGCUCUAUCAUUUAAAAUACAACCCCGUAUCUAUCUAUCCCUCACAUUACUACCCUAAUUGUCUUUUUACGGCAAUGCAAGCCUCUCAUCUUUCUACCUAAAAAUCCUCCAACAGCUCUCAGUAACUGCUACAGCGGAUUUUAAAUUUCUUAAUCUAACACAUGAGGGCCUUCAUGAUCUGGCAUCCUCCUGCCUCUCAAGCCUCAUCCCUACCAUCUCCUCCCCAUAUGUUUAUCCUACCAUAAUUAAACUUUUGUAGCCAUCUGAGAGAGUUUGGUACCUCACUCCUAUUUGCCCAAAUGCUCUAUAUUCUGCUUACUACACUCAUCCCUCUGCUUCUCCAGCUAACUCCUAUUCGUUCUUCAAAAUUAAGCUCAAGCAACAUCUCUUUUAAGAAGGCUUCCCUGAAGUGGUCUACUGGAUUACUGAAAACCAUGAUAUUUUCAUUUAUACAGUGAAAAUCAUAAAUAUUACUUCCAGGAGUUCCCGUCAGCUCAGUGGUUAACAAAUGUGACUGGGAACCAUGAGGUUGCGGGUUCGAUCCCUGGCCUUGCUCAGUGGGUUAAGGAUCCAGCGUUGCCGUGAGCUGUGGUAUAGGUCACAGACGUGGCUUGGAUCCCGAGUUGCUGUGGCUCAGGCGUAGGCUGGCAGCUACAGCUCCGAUUAGACCCCUAGCCUGGGAAUGUCCAUGUGCCAUGGGUAUAGCCCUAGAAAAGACAAAAAAAAAACCAAAAAAUUAAAAAUAAAUUAAUUAAUACAUAAAUAAAUAUUACUUCCAACUAUGAUUUGAAAAUUGUUUCUCUGAGGAGGGGCACACAAUUCAAGCCAGAGGCAAAGGAGCAGCUUUUCAGAGGAGGUCAACUUGCCAUACAGAGUGGACUGCAGGCAUAUCCUAGCAGAUGGAGAAGCCUUCAAAAAGGUAUGUAGAAGUGGGAGAAACUGAGAGUUCAGGAAGCAUAAAUAGAUCAGUGUGGUGAAUGUUUCAUAUUCUGAGAGCAGAAUGUAAGGUUCUUAUGAUGAGCAGAAGCCAGAAGUUGGGGGGCUCUGGGAAGGACAUUAUACUUUAUUGGGUGGGCACUGAGGAGCCAUUAUAAGCUUGAAACCGUAAGAGAAACAUUGGGGUUACAUGUUAGGAAGCUUAGUUGUGGAAAACUGAUUAAAGGAGGGAUAUAGAGAGCAGAGAGGAAUGGUUAAGAGUCAAAUGCAGUAAUUCAGGUAAAUUUAAAAGACACAGAGUUAGAUUUCACAAGAUUUGUUAACUGUAUAUAAAGGAGGGGCAGCUAGAAUCUCAGAACUUUGCUCUGUGUCAUUUUGUGGAUGGGGAUGCCAAAUUAACACAAAAUUAAUUUUCAAGGAUUUUUGAGAAAUUAAUCAUCUAUUUUGAGCUAAUUAGAGAUGUUUUGUAAUAUAAGAGGCAUGAUGUUUUGAAAGAGAUGUUUCUGACACUAGUGUCCAUUUGCUAUGAAACAGUCAUGAAAUGUAAUUCUUUUGGAUUAUGCAAUGGAUUCUCUGUGUGAUCCCAAAGUGUCAUUAAACUUUCUGCAAUCUUGCAAAAUUUCCUAUACUAGUAAGAAAAAAAUACAUGCCACCCAGAUAAUUCAAUGAAACACCUCAAAAGUAAAUUUGACUGUGUGGUCAUUUCUGUUUCCUAAAGGCAAA